GGGUUGUGAGGUUAAGCGACUAAGCGUACACGGUGGAUGCCCUGGCAGUCAGAGGCGAUGAAGGGCGUGCUAAUCUGCGAUAAGCGCCGGUAAGGUGAUAUGAACCGUUAUAACCGGCGAUACCCGAAUGGGGAAACCCAGUGUGAUUCGUCACACUAUCAUUAACUGAAUCCAUAGGUUAAUGAGGCGAACCGGGGGAACUGAAACAUCUAAGUACCCCGAGGAAAAGAAAUCAACCGAGAUUCCCCCAGUAGCGGCGAGCGAACGGGGAGGAGCCCAGAGCCUGAAUCAGCAUGUGUGUUAGUGGAAGCGUCUGGAAAGGCGCGCGAUACAGGGUGACAGCCCCGUACACAAAAGCGCAUGUGUUGUGAGCUCGAUGAGUAGGGCGGGACACGUGGUAUCCUGUCUGAAUAUGGGGGGACCAUCCUCCAAGGCUAAAUACUCCUGACUGACCGAUAGUGAACCAGUACCGUGAGGGAAAGGCGAAAAGAACCCCGGCGAGGGGAGUGAAAAAGAACCUGAAACCGUGUACGUACAAGCAGUGGGAGCACCCUUUGGGGUGUGACUGCGUACCUUUUGUAUAAUGGGUCAGCGACUUAUAUUCUGUAGCAAGGUUAACCGAAUAGGGGAGCCGGAGGGAAACCGAGUCUUAACCGGGCGUUAAGUUGCAGGGUAUAGACCCGAAACCCGGUGAUCUAGCCAUGGGCAGGUUGAAGGUUGGGUAACACUAACUGGAGGACCGAACCGACUAAUGUUGAAAAAUUAGCGGAUGACCUGUGGCUGGGGGUGAAAGGCCAAUCAAACCGGGAGAUAGCUGGUUCUCCCCGAAAGCUAUUUAGGUAGCGCCUCGUGAAUUCAUCUCCGGGGGUAGAGCACUGUUUCGGCUAGGGGGCCAUCCCGGCUUACCAACCCGAUGCAAACUGCGAAUACCGGAGAAUGUUAUCACGGGAGACACACGGCGGGUGCUAACGUCCGUCGUGAAGAGGGAAACAACCCAGACCGCCAGCUAAGGUCCCAAAGUCAUAGUUAAGUGGGAAACGAUGUGGGAAGGCCCAGACAGCCAGGAUGUUGGCUUAGAAGCAGCCAUCAUUUAAAGAAAGCGUAAUAGCUCACUGGUCGAGUCGGCCUGCGCGGAAGAUGUAACGGGGCUAAAC
rnacentral:rRNA from 1 species